rfam:Sphingobacterium faecium PCAi_F2.5 genome assembly, contig: Scaffold43
UGGCGUGUAGCAUCUGGGAUGCAACGAGCAUAUUGUGAGAUAAGAGGCAGGUUCGAUUCCUGCCACGCCAA